rnacentral:misc_RNA from 1 species
GUUUUGUGCCAACAAAGUCAGAUGCUCAAGUGGUUGCUUUCAGAAAGUGGUUAAAGAAAUACUCAGAUGGUCAAAUUAACUGGGGAGAAAUGUUCAGUGGACUUCCCCCAUCUACUCCAAAAGAGCAACUAAUGGACAGGUAUUGGUCACAUGUAGUGAACUGCAGCAGUUGCCGCGUUGCAUACAAGGGUCUCAAUGCACUUGAGGUUGUUCUGCAGGUCGUGUCCAUUGUUUUAAUCGGAAUUGUUGCUGCAACCAAGCAAACUGGGAUGUCUGCAGUUACUAGAACUACACUUGUCUUGAUGGCAGUACUAUGCUUUGCAGCUUCAAGAUGGCUGGCUCACUUCAUUUACAAGAAUUUUCAUUUUCAUGACUACAACCAUGCCCUUCUCUGAAUCAUUGUUUCACAGAGUCCUCAACAUUGGGAACACUUGUAUUACACCCAG